GACGAACGCUGGCGGCGUGCCUAAUACAUGCAAGUAGAACGCUGAAGGAGGAGCUUGCUUCUCCGGAUGAGUUGCGAACGGGUGAGUAACGCGUAGGUAACCUGCCUGGUAGCGGGGGAUAACUAUUGGAAACGAUAGCUAAUACCGCAUAACAGUAGAUGUUGCAUGACAUUUGCUUAAAAGGUGCAAUUGCAUCACUACCAGAUGGACCUGCGUUGUAUUAGCUAGUUGGUGAGGUAAAGGCUCACCAAGGCGACGAUACAUAGCCGACCUGUGAGGGGGAGAGGCCACACUGGGACUGAGACACGGUCCAGACGCCUACGGGAGGCAGCAGGGGGGAAUCGUCCGCAAUGGGCGAAAGCCUGACGGAGCAACGCCGCGUGAGGGAGGACGGCCUUCGGGUUGUAAAACUCGGUGAUCCGGGACGAAAAGGCAGAGUGCGAAGAACAAACUGCAUUGACGGUACCGGAAAAGCAAGCCACGGCUAACUACGUG
rnacentral:rRNA from 1 species